UGAGUGAGGUUAGAAGUUCUCUGAGAACAUGUCUCCAUCUUCCACGCUUCCACGUUGUCUACUUGCUCAUGUGAAGGAGAAUUCCUGACAAGAAGCUGUGUCUGCAGACGCUGAGUGAUGGAGUGUUGCAGACCUAGAGCCUAAUUACCUUGGGAUGCUGAAGCUACCUGGCUAGUCCUGCCUAUCUGAAAAAAAUGGAGGCCAUAAGAUCCCAAAUUGCC
rnacentral:lncRNA from 1 species